UUCAAAAUAUACAGUAAAUACAGUGGCGAAUUAUUUGUGUACAAGAUCCAUAAUAUUCCUGGUUUUCGAUAGCUAUAUUUUUAUGUAGUUAUUAAAAACAACAACUGAAGUGGAAAUGUUCACGUUUCAAAAAUUUGUGUCGGUUUUUUUUUUAAAGCCCCAUGGAGGCGCCAGUGUGGAAAACACGAUCAGGAAUUCGAGUGGAUCACCAAAUAUUAUUGGUGCCUAAACGGCAUUUCUCCACGAUUUCUACAUUGGUGAAUUGCACAAGCAGGUGAGGCCAUAACUGGUCUUAAAAUAUACUGGAAAAUAUUAGGAAAUUUGCAAGGUCCAUCGUAUCCUUCAUCUGUGCAUAAAGAAAAUACCACAAUAUUACAAUUUAGUACCUUAAUUACUGUAUUUGGAUCAACAUAUGAUGAUGAUUGGAACUGCAUUUCCCAAUCACUGAAAAUGUGAACCCACCGGGAAAUGUACGUGAUGUUCAUAUUUACUGCAACAGAUUGAGAAUGUUAUUCGGCGUAAAUUGGCCCUGGAUGGUAUACCAUUCAGGCUGAGCCACUUUAAUAGCCGAAAGCUGAAGACAUUUGGACAGUCCCUAUUGUGCAGAUGCCGCAACUAUUGUAUUGAUAAGUUAGUUUUAAUUUGUAUUUGAUAUACAUCACAAAUAAUAUAUCCA
rnacentral:sRNA from 1 species